rnacentral:rRNA from 1 species
UGAGUAACCUGCCCUUAACUCUGGGAUAAGCCUGGGAAACUGGGUCUAAUACCGGAUAUGACUCCUCAUCGCAUGGGUGGGGGGGUGGAAAGCUUUAUUGUGGUUUUGGAUGGACUCGCGGCCUAUCAGCUUGUUGGUGAGGUAAUGGCUCACCAAGGCGACGACGGGUAGCCGGCCUGAGAGGGUGACCGGCCACACGUGGGACUGAGACACGGCCCAGACUCCGUACGGGAGCAG